AAAAUGGAAACAUGUUCUUCUACGAACUGUGGAACAAGGAGGGAUCUCAGAAGACAUGUAGUAACUUCUUUUAAUAACUACCUGUGUCACUUUGGGCAAGAUUUGCACUUUGAUGAAUGCCAUCCUGGAGCUCCUAGAAACCAGUGCCAUGAGUAAAGCCAGCCUGGAAGAGAAAAGAUCUAAGCCCAGCUAUGACUGUGUCUGUCACUUGAGUUUCUUAAUAAGACCCUACAUGACCUGAAUUACAUGAGUCCCUUCUCUACUCCUUUUCUGUUCAAGCCAGUUUCAGUUAAAUUUCCAUGUUUGUUACUUGCAACUAAAAGCCCUAAAGGAGAAAUGAUAUCUUAUAAUAAUGGACUCUAUCAUUUGUAUGAACUUUCUAUCUAUAAAUGUGAUGGCCUUUGAUGACUUCUAAUUGUUAUUUCAAGUCACACGAAAAAAUGCAGAACAGCCUAGAGUUCGGUCCUGUAAACCCACAGCACGGGGCUGUGAUGACAUGGGUAUAUGGAAAUCCAUCUAUCUACAUGGAUAUAUAUGACAUGUAUGGAUAUAUGAAGAGUUUCUUAAACACAGAGAUGCCCAAUAAAUAUUUGCUGAUUUUGACAGUUUCACUUUAGCAUAAAAUAGUUUGUUUCAAGCACAAAAAUGUUUUCAUGUAUUUUUUAUUUCUCCUGUUAAACAGAUUGCAAAAACCCCCCAAAAGCUUGUCUCUUUUUAAUAUUAUAGUUCAUUUUCCCUUUAAAGAAAUAUUUCUCUUGCACAAUGAUUUGAAAUACAUUUUUCUACCAGAAAUCUAAAAAUAUUUCAAUAAGGGAAAAAAUCUAGGGUUGCAAUUUGAGGUCAUAAAAUAACACAUGCUAAAAAUUGGAGUAAAUGUAUCUUUUCUUGUCAAGAAGUAUUUAUAAAUCCCACUUAGAAGGACAUCAUUUCUCAGGAUAUUCUAAAGCCCUAAGUCAGCUGUUUAAUAGAGAAGAAUACUAAGAAAUAUGAUUCAGAUAAAAUAGUUUUAUGGCAUAUAAUUUUUUUCAUAUAUGAUUUCUUAAUGCUGUUAGAAUGUCCCUAUAAUUCAGACUCGUAAAUAUUAUGUCAAACACUUCUUUGGCUCUUGGAACACAGUAAAAUACAAUUCUCAUUAAUACUUAACUUACCAUAUUCUGCAUCACCCAGCCUGUGGCAAUUAAUGUAGCAUUUCUAUAUUUCUGUCAAUAAAAUUAAAUCUUACAUUUAAUAAAUGUAGAUAAGGACAUAAUUUUAUGUGAGAAAAUAAAAUCUGUACAAAGUCCAAAAGUGAUCUUGUUAAAGAAAAAAUAAAGUUCAAAGCACUACAAGCUUUAAGCCA
rnacentral:lncRNA from 1 species